rnacentral:rRNA from 1 species
AUGUAUCAGCAGAAUUUUUUAGAUAACUUGGUUAAUCAUCCUAACCAAGAUCGAUUAUUGGAUUACAAAAAUUAUUUUUAUUCUGAGUUUUAUUCUCAGAAUCUAUCUGAAGGGUUUGCGAUCGUUGUGGAAAUCCCAUUCUCGCUACGGGAAUUUUUUUGUCCGAAAGAAAAAGAAAUACCAAAGUUUCAGAAUUUACGCUCUAUUCAUUCAAUAUUUCCCUUUUUAGAAGACAAAUUUUUGCAUUUGGAUUAUCUAUCACAUAUAGAAAUACCCUAUCCUAUCCAUUUGGAAAUCCUGGUUCAACUCCUUAAAUACCGUAUCCAAGAUGUUCCAUCUUUGCAUUUAUUGCGAUUCUUUCUCAACUAUUCUUCGAAUUGGAAUAGUUUUAUUACUUCAAUGAAAUCCAUUUUUUUCAAAAAGAAAAUAAAAGACUAUUUCAAUUCCUAUAUAACUCUUAUGUAUCAGAAUAUGAAUUUUUUGUUGUUGUUUCUUCGUAAACAAUCUUCUUGCUUACCAUUAGCAUCUUCUGGAACUUUUCUGGAAUGA